rnacentral:tRNA from 1 species
GAAUAAGAAGUAAACAUUACAAUCAGUUUCGACCUGAAAAAUGGUAUUAAAUAUACCCUUAUUUU